rnacentral:rRNA from 1 species
GACGAAGGAUGCAAGCGUUAUCCGGAUUCAUUGGGUUUAAAGGGAGCGUAGGUGGCCUUAUAAGUCAGUGGUGAAAUCUCUGGGCUUAACCCAGAAAUUGCCAUUGAUACUGUAGGGCUUGAGUAUAGUUGCCGUUGGCGGAAUAUGACAUGUAGUGGUGAAAUACAUAGAGAUGUCAUAGAACACCGAUUGCGAAGGCAGCUAACGAAACUAUAACUGACACUGAGGCUCGAAAGUGUGGGGAUCAAACAGG